rnacentral:rRNA from 1 species
AACAAACGCUGGCGGCGUGCCUAACACAUGCAAGUCGUACGAGAAAGGGUCCUUCGGGGCCUGAGUAAAGUGGCGCACGGGUGGGUAACGCGUGGAUAAUCUGCCCUUCAGUUGGGAAUAACUCAUCGAAAGGUGGGCUAAUACCGAAUAAUGCUGUGAGACCUCGGUUGAUCAGCCAAAGAGAGCCUCUGCUUGCAAGCCCUCGCUGAAGGAUGAGUCCGCGUACCAUUAGCUAGUUGGUAGGGUAAUGGCCUACCAAGGCGACGAUGGUUAGAGGGUCUGAGAGGAUGAUAAGCCACACUGGAACUGAGACACGGUCCAGACUCCUACGGGAGGCAGCAGUGAGGAAUCUUGCGCAAUGGGGGCAACCCUGACGCAGCAACGCCGCGUGAGUGAGGAAGGUCUUCGGAUCGUAAAGCUCUGUCGGAUGGAAAGAACCGCAUAGGGGUAAACAGCCCCUGUGUCUGACGGUACCAUCAAAGGAAGCACCGGCUAACUCCGUGCCAGCCGCCGCCGUAAUAC